CCUACGGGAGGCAGCAGUGGGGAAUAUUGGACAAUGGGCGAAAGCCUGAUCCAGCAAUGCCGCGUGAGUGAUGAAGGCCUUAGGGUUGUAAAGCUCUUUUACCAGGGAUGAUAAUGACAGUACCUGGAGAAUAAGCUCCGGCUAACUCCGUGCCAGCAGCCGCGGUAAUACGGAGGGAGCUAGCGUUGUUCGGAAUUACUGGGCGUAAAGAGUACGUAGGCGGUUAUUCAAGUCAGAGGUGAAAGCCCGGGGCUCAACCCCGGAACUGCCUUUGAAACUAGAUAGCUAGAAUCUUGGAGAGGUCAGUGGAAUUCCGAGUGUAGAGGUGAAAUUCGUAGAUAUUCGGAAGAACACCAGUGGCGAAGGCGACUGACUGGACAAGUAUUGACGCUGAGGUACGAAAGCGUGGGGAGCAAACAGGAUUAGAUACCAUGGUAGUCCACGCCGUAAACGAUGAUAACUAGUUGUUCGGGCACUUGGUGCCUGAGUGACGCAGCUAACGCAUUAAGUUAUCCGCCUGGGGAGUACGGUCGCAAGAUUAAAACUUAAAGGAAUUGACGG
rnacentral:rRNA from 1 species